UUCCUCCCUCGGCGAGAAAAGCUUUCCUGGCAGGGCGAUCCCUCCAGCAGCUCCGCCGAACAUGGGCCGCCAGCUCCUGGGGGUUAUCCUGCUCUUCUUGCCACGAACCGCUGCUGGGAUCCACCAAAGCCCGGCGCAGCUGUGGCUGAAACCGGGCGACACAGCCCGGCUCAGCUGCAACAUCUCCAGCAACGAGUGGAGCGUGAACUGGUACAGAGAGAGGCCGGAUGGCAGCUUGUACCAUGUUUACCAGAGCUCUUCAUACUCAUCCCCAGAGGAAAAAUAUUCGGGAACAGUGGAAGCGCAACAGGUUUUUUCCUUUAACAUCAGCUCUGUGGAGAGGAAUGACUCCGGCGUUUAUUACUGCAGCGUCUCCGUCCUGCACCCGCGCUUUGGGAGCGGCACCAGGCUUGUCGUCACCGGUGAGUGUCCCGCAGGUCGGAGCGCUAAUAUGUAAUUAAAAAGCAAUAUGGUGCAGUGGGAGGAGGAAACAGGGAGAGAGUCAGAGGCUGACGGCAGGGACGUGCCUUGUCCCGGCCUCUGGGAUUCCCAGGCUUGGUGCAGAGCUAAAGUCGGGUGCCACCGUUCAAGGAGCCUGGAGAUGUUUCAUUUGUUGAAGCUUUAGCACGUACUGACCCUAUGGCGCCGUCAUCAGGCGAGCUGCCUCGAGCA